GUGAGGUUUCUCGUUUCGCGAGUGAGAGUACGAGUCGGUUGGAAAUACCACCUCCAGAGGUCCUUGUUACUUUUGGGUCACUCAAAUCAGUGGGAAAACCCAAAUACUCUAUUGUGUGCCUAUAUGCAGAUGAUUUCCGUGACCUCAGAAAGCGUUGUUGCUCCUCAGAGCUUGACUAUAUUGCUUCGCUUAGCCGUUGUAAGCCAUGGGACGCUAAGGGAGGGAAGAGCAAAUCAGUGUUCGCUAAGACUUUGGAUGAUAGGUUCAUUGUAAAAGAGAUCAAGAAGACAGAGUACGAAUCAUUUGUGACGUUUGCUCCGGAAUAUUUCAAGUACAUGAAGGACUCGUAUGAUCUAGGCAACCAGACUUGUCUAGCCAAAGUUCUUGGGAUCUAUCAGGUAAUAAUGUCUUUAGAAUCAUCUCUUGACCAUUCUACCAUUAGCAUUUUGCCUAAAUCGGUAAAGAAACGGAUAGGACUUUAUUUUGAAGGAGCUUCGAUUGCUAUUUUUACAGGUAACUGUAAGGCAGCCAAAGAGCGGUAAAGAGAUAAGGCACGACCUGAUGGUAAUGGAGAAUCUCAGUUUUGGCAGAAAAAUUACUCGCCAAUACGAUCUCAAAGGCGCUCUACACGCUCGGUUUACGGCUACUUCUGCUAAUGGCGCGGAAGAUGUUCUGUUGGAUCAGAACUUCGUCAACGACAUGAACAAAUCCCCUCUUUACGUUAGCAAGACAUACCAUAUGGUUUGAUGAUUUUGUUUUGCUAGGCGAGUGUUCUGUUGAUGGAAACUCUUAUGAAAGGUAAGGCUGGUACAUACAUGUUGCUAGGAUUUUGAUUAAUCAAAGAUUAUUGAUAUAUACUUUGUUCUGUCUAUGUCAGGGGUAAUGAAGAUGAGUGUUCGAGCCAUGGUAGUCAAGAAGAUGUGGACUCCCCCCUAAAGGAUAAGAAGGUCGAUCGCCAAUAUACCUUAGAGCGCAAGUCCAAGAGCAUGCCCAGUGACAUCCAGAGAGACAUUUAUAUUUUGGGUGAAAAAUCUAAAGACAACGGUGUUGAAAGUGUUCAAUUCCUAUCUGAUCGUGAAGAUGAUGGUGCUGAAAUGGAUGCCCCCCCUAUUUGGGAACCCCCGGAGCCACUAGACCCAGAAGAUGAACUAGAAGAUGCUGCUGCUGAUGAAUGUUGUGAUGGCUCUAAACGGGCCAGAUCAUCUUCUUUAGGGGAAUCUAAAGAUGGAAGUAGUAACCAGAGAAAGUUCAAUGAAGAAAAUCGAAGAGCAAUGCUUGCGGUGGCAAACUCAAAGUUUAACUUCAUUGUGAGUCAGCUUAUUCAGUCGGCUGGGUUUUCAUUGGAAGAAGGUGAAAGUUGGAGUGCGAUAGUUGCUAGGUUAUGCUGGGAGGCUGCUUCACUAUUAAAGCCAGAUAUUGAUGGCAAACCAGUUGAUCCGGCUGAGUACAUCAAAGUGAAAUGCAUAGCAACUGGUUCUUGCAAUGAAAGGUAUUACAACUUACCCAUUGAUUGCCUAUACGUUGCAUAUGAUUUUUAUUCCAUUUCCCUCUACCGUACUCUCCUAAUGAUUUGUUCAUCUCUGCAGUGAAGUUUUUAAAGGCCUUGUUUUCAAAAAACAUGCUGCUCUUAAACAAAUGCCUACCAAGUAUGAGCAUCCUAGAAUAAUGUUAGUCGAAGGAGUACUGGGCCAGCCAUUAAGUGGUUUUUCUUCUCUCCAGUCAAUGGAUAAGGUGGGGAGCACAGUAACUUGGCGAUCACCAAUUCACCAUUUUGAAAGCUUUCAUUUGGUAAUAUCUGAUUUCUUUUUGUUUGGUUUUUGCCAACAGGACAAAGAUGUUUAUGUGAAGCCUGUUGUUGAUAUCAUAACCGCGUUGAAGCCUGACAUCAUGCUGGUGGAAAAAUCUGUUUCGCGUGAUAUCCAAUUGUCUAUUAAUGAACAAAAGGUCACUCUGGUGCUUGACAUGAAGCUCCACCGUUUACAGCGAAUUUCUCGAUGCAUAGGUUCACCAAUCAUUCCAUUGGAAUCUCUGUCUAGUCAGACGUUAAAGCACUGUGAUUCCUUUCGCAUUGAGAAAAUUGUGGAGGAGCAUAAUGCUGUGGGCGAAGCUGAGAAGAAGCCAACUAAAACGCUGAUGUUCUUAGAAGGUUGUCCUACCCGCCUUGGCUGCACGGUGAGUGCUUGAUUGAUAUUGGAUUAUGAUAAGUCGUUGAUGGUAUCAUUACUUGAGUAACACAUCAAUACAUCAUAUAACUGCCUAGUUUCCACUGGAUAAAACAUCAAAUCUUUCAAAAUUUGAAAUUGUGACAUUCACCUUGGACUUUCUUGCAGUGUACCCCUGAUUAUCUGAUUUUGACAUUGUGGUAUGUGACAGAUUUUACUUAAAGGAAGCCACAGUGAAAGGUUGAAAAAGGUCAAAGAAGUAGUACAAGAUUCAUUUAACCUUGCAUAUCAUCUAAUCUUGGAGGCUUCCUUCCUUGCUGAUCGGCAAACAAUGUUCUCAACCAUCUUUCCAAAGGAAGCUACAUCAUGUGUUAUGGAAACAGAAAAAGUUCCACUAUCUCCUUCUCCUGGAAAAUCUUCACUUGAAGCAAUUGAUAUUCCCUUUUCUAAUGGAUUCGAUGAACGAUCUAUUCAGAUAAAUGGGGAAUCAGAUGGUGAGAAAGCUGAAAACUGGGAUUCUGGUGGAGAUCAUGUCUUCUCUCACGAGCCAUAUAAUCCAGUUAUUUUUACUGGGUUUUCCUCUUUAUCCGCCAAGCUAAGUAAAUAUUUUGGCUUAGUUGAAAAUCCGGAAUCAGUUCCAGUUACUGUGGAUACAGAUUCGAUAAGGGAAUCUGCCGAAGAUGCUACAGAAAAGGAUGAAAGACCUUUGUUACUUGACCCUGGGCUCCCGGUAAACACGAAUUCAGAUGAUGGAGAGAGGUCGCCAACUGAGAAUGAUAUUGAGACCACCUUGGAAUCUCAGAGUAUAUUGGUGUUAGUGUCAAAGAGGAAUGCUUUCAAUGGGAUGAUGUGUGACCAAAGUCAUUUUUCGCACAUAAAGUUUUACAAGCACUUUGAUGUUCGCUUGGAUAGAUUCCUGCGAGAUAUGUUCAUUCAGGUUUUACUCUUGUUCUUUGUCAUUUUCUUUUUUUUUAAAUGCUGUUUUGUUCUUUUGUCAAGGUUAAUCUGUGUUCCUUAUGUUAAUAAGCUUUACAACAUUUAUGGCAAGUUUUUUAAGGCAACUGUUUAUGGUGCAGAGAAGCCAGUGCCGAACGUGCGGUGAAACUCCGGAAGCACAUCUUUACUAUUAUGCUCAUCAAAACAAGCAACUAACAAUCCAAAUCAAGCGAAUUUCUGUGCCAAAAUGUUUGCCUGGUGAGGCAAAAGGAAAAAUCUGGAUGUGGAGUCGUUGUGGAAAGUGUAAGACAAAGAAUGGGACCCGGAAAUCUACCAAACGAGUGCUGAUAUCGACUGCUGCUCGUAGCUUGUCAUUUGGAAAAUUCCUGGAGCUCAGCUUUACUCAGCCAACUUUUCUGAAUAGAUUGUGUAGCUGCGGCCACUCUUUGGACAAGGACUUUCUUCACUUCUUUGGGUAUGUUUUUGCUCUAUUUUGCUCAACCUGGAGCUUCACAUAUUCUAAUCAAGUACUAAAGUAAAGUUUUGAGUUACUCUAUUUAUAUGGGCUUCCGAAAUAUUCGCAUUCACAUAUUCUAGGUUAGUUUAUACCUACUUUUCUUGUUUUAAGGCGUAGUUAGUUCUCUUGAAGGUCCCUUGGUUCUAGUGUUGAGACGUAAAAAACAUGGAUGAUGGUUUGAGAGCCGUUAUUGUCUCUAGUAAUAUAUGAUAAAUCUUACGACAUGUUAACAACCUGCAGGUUAGGCUCCAUGGUUGCUAUGCUCAGUUACUCCCAAGUCACAUCUUACACAGUGUCUCUGCCACCCAUGAUGCUGGAGCCAAGCAUUUUUAUAAAAGUGGGUUGGCUUGAAAAAGAAUUCCAUGGAGUAAGUUUAUUUUCUUCUGCACCUGGUAUAUUCAUAUGCAUUGUGUUAGCAACAAAGAUUAUCUCUUGCUUGGGGCGAGGGCUGGCCUUUAAUUGCACAAUGAUUUUUGCUGAUUGUUUCUGUUUACCUGUUCAGGUAUUCACUAAAGGUAUCUCCUUGUUCGAGGACGCUACUAGUUUUCUGAAGAGACUAAGAUCACAGUUCACAAAUUCAGAUCUCAGCUACCAGUGUGCACUAAAAUUGUUGUCAAACGUCGACGAGUUACUGAAUCACGAGCGCCGCCUAUUUCAGGUUAGCAUUGCAACAAUUGCAUUCAGUAUACAAUAUCUUUGUAGUUCAUGACAGAAGCUUACUAAUACCUUUUCAUCCAUUUCUUGGGCAUUAUUGGCUAAAAAUAGGAAAACAUCAAGAUUUCUUUUGAGAAUGCUAAAACCAUGGAUGAUGUUUCCCACAAACUGCUCCGCUUAAACCGCAUGAGGUGGGAACUUUUGUUCCAAGCUCUCACCUGGAACUACCGAUUGCAGUCACUGGUUUUAUCUAAUCGUUUGCUACCUUCAAGUGGUGAGAAGAAGAUAAAUGAAGGUGUAGAGACCAAUCUUGAGGCUGGAUUGACAAGAUAUGAAAAUAAGGACAAAGUUUCUGAUUCUGGUAGCAAUGAAGGCAUGGACGAACCACUUGUUGAAGACAAGGAAAUUCCAAUUGUGGGUGCAUCUGUUGGGGAGAUGGAAGAAUCUGAAGAUAAUGAAUUGCAAACUCUGUCCAGCCCCGGGCCUGAUACAACCUCUCCCAUCAACGAUCAUUUUUACACUCACUUGGCUGUUAAUAUCCAUUCAGCCAAUGAACAAGAAUUAAUUCCAGAUAGUGGAGAUCCACCGGAUGGGAAGGUUGCUGCCUCUAAUGGGCCACACAUCUUAGGCUGGGAUGAGUGGUUCUGGUUGCCAUUUGAAGAUCUACGAUCAAAGCCUAUUGUCGAUGUGGAGAAGGAAUACUUGUUGAAAUUUGAGUAUGUUAACAGUUUCACCCAAGAUAACCUGCAUGCGGUGAACCAAAUAAUCACUGAGGAAGGUUCUCGUCUGCGGAUCUCAUUGAGGGAUGAAGAUUUUAUCGUGUCAGACUAUGAAGACGAGGUCUCGAGCCUAAUAGCUUGCGCGCUUGCCCAUCUGAGCAAUGCUGAUAACAGAUUGCCUCUUUCAAGGUGCAUUCAUGGAUCACUCGAAGGGUUCCUGGAUAAAGAUCAAGAUUCUAAGCAAACUGUUGACCGUGAGGUUUCUCGUUUCGCGAGUGAGAGUACGAGUCGGUUGGAAAUACCACCUCCAGAGGUCCUUGUUACUUUUGGGUCACUCAAAUCAGUGGGAAAACCCAAAUACUCUAUUGUGUGCCUAUAUGCAGAUGAUUUCCGUGACCUCAGAAAGCGUUGUUGCUCCUCAGAGCUUGACUAUAUUGCUUCGCUUAGCCGUUGUAAGCCGUGGGAUGCCAAGGGAGGGAAGAGCAAAUCAGUGUUCGCUAAGACUUUGGAUGAUAGGUUCAUUGUAAAAGAGAUCAAGAAGACAGA
rnacentral:lncRNA from 1 species